CCUACGGGAGGCAGCAGUGGGGAAUAUUGGACAAUGGGGGAAACCCUGAUCCAGCCAUGCCGGGGGAAUGAAGAAGGCCCUCGGGUUGUAAAGCACUUUCAGCGAGGAAGAACGCCUAGCGGUUAAUACCCGAUAGGAAAGAC
rnacentral:rRNA from 1 species